GAAACGCCCCUUGCAUCAGACUCUAUAAGACCACAGAGACCUGUGAAUCUGUUUCGCCACAAGACACUCACUACCCUCAGCCGAAGAUACUAAGAUACAGUUUAGACAGUGUCCAGAGCCGCACUGAUCUUUGUGUGAUUUGUGAAGAUGGCCUUUAAUGGUUUGAGCACAAGAUAUCCCAAAAGGAAUAUAAAUAUUCACACACCCGUGUGCCACGUAAAGAAAAAUACUCUUCAUGGAAUUACCAUCUAAAUGAUAGUCCCUAAAAUUAGGGCUGAAGGUCACCUUUACACAUUUACUUCUGAUGGCGAGAAAACAGGUGAGGAAUGCCUUUUUGCCUUUCAAGGAGCUGUUCUACUCAAACGACCUUGUAAAUCAUGGAAUAUGUAAAAUGCUUGGGAUAAAAGUGGGAGUGAAUCGCAUAAAAUGGAUAUACAUGGAAGAAUAAAACAACAAUGUUCAAGAUGUACAAAUUGUUUAUUCAUCUCAUUUUGACGUGCGCAUCUGUGUGCGUAAAAACGCGCGUCUCCAAAUGCGCACCAGAAACACAACAGCGCUCCAAUGCGCCACUGAAUGCUUUUUGCUAUCAAAUUGUAAUUGUAGCACAAAAUAGGUCUUAGGUUUUUUUAGGAUAAAACUGUAUAUGUAAUUCAAAAUAUUUCCUUUGAUAUUUUUGUCCCUCGGUAAUAAGAGCUUAUCUGAGGUGUUGGUUUAGGAUGAUCAUUAAAAUGAAUAAAACAAGAGUUUAACUAUAAAAUUCUGGCUGAAGUAGUUUGCUGGUCUGAUUUUAACUAGCUGGUCUUCUAGCCAGACAGGCUAAUAACUGUCCACCCCCAAAAUAACUAUCCAGCAUCAAUAGACACCACUGUAGUUGCUUUUUUAGCAAAGGCAUAAUCAGGAAAUAUCCUGUGAUGAUUUUUACUUGGUAAGUGGCCUGAUUUACCUGGAAAAAGUAGGGUGGUCAUAAAACAUAUUCAUUUCACACCAUUGACAACAUGUUUUUAUGAUUGCAUGUCUACUUUGAGAUAUGAGUCCAACAUAUGUCUGUUGCAGAUUAAAAAUCACCCCAUGGCCUAAAUUCCACAAGAUGUGUUGACACAUGUCUCCAAAAGAAAAUCCUUCACAGACACAUCUAAAUAUAUAAAUACGUAUAAUUCUCAUAAAUGGGAACAUGUCUUGUUCGGUCACACAAGGGGAUCUAUUUGCCUGUGUUAACAUGGCCAGCUAUUAACACGAGACUCUUAAUAUGAGAUGCUUAUCUGGUGAAACUAAAAAUAAAUUGUGCUCUCCACUUAGUAAUAGAAGAAGAUGUGCUGUGGGUCUUAUCUAAAAGUAGACACACAUUUAGCACAACACACAUUAAAUAAUAAGAGAUAUCAGUUAUCAAAGACAAAUAUUAUAAGUGUUUUAAUGUGGAGAUAUAUAACUCAUAAAUCUUAGUUUAGAGUCAGACAAUUCAAAGUUUUAUAAAUCUGUCAAUAGAUUUUGUGCAUAAAUACAUUUGGUCAAGAUGCUGUAAAUAAACUCUCUAAAUGAGUUAGGAUAACACACAUGAAAUUAGCUACAGUACAUAAAAGAAUGACAUUGCUUUAAUUGCUGGAAAGUCUCUGACAGCUAGAGAAAUGAUACUGUUAUCUAACAUAUGCGUGAAAUGUUUCUCGCACAUUUACAGCUGCCUGUGGAACAGCAUGUGUCUCUAGUCAACAAUCUCAGUUAUGAGGGUGUGUGAAAACAUAUUCACCCCAUAAAAAAUACCUUGCAUACAUCACUUCCUGAAGGGUCAUGUGACGUAAACAGUUAGAGGUGAUAUAAUAUUUACCAUAUAAAUUACAGUAAACCUUUAUGAAUGAAGUAGCCAAUGUUUGCUUGCUUCAUUUAAUUUCCAUGUACGACUUCAUAUAGAGGUCAGAUAAGCCCAUGCUUUGAAACUAUACAAUGUGUUCUUGUAGUUAAUUUACAUCUAUGCAGUUAACAAACACUUUUGUCUAAAGCAACUUCCUGUGCAUUACAAGGUUGCAUUUUUAUCACCUCUCGUUCUCCGGGGAUCGAACCCAUGACCUUUUACACUGCUACCUCAAUGUUCUCCUACUGAGCUAUACAGGAGGGCAGCUGGUGGAGCUUAAUAGCAACUCAAAGGUCAUGAGGUUGAUUUCCAGGAAACACAGUUACUGAUAAAUGUCAUGUGGAGCUUGCACACGGAAGUCGCUUUUGAUAAAAGCAUUUCACAAAUGCAUAAAUGUAAAUGAUUGCUGUCAGUUUUCUUGAAAAUAUGGAAUGAAGCUUAAAAGAACUGGAGAAACUAGCAUUGUCCUGUAUAGGACAAGGCACAUUGGACAUGUCCUCUAACACACCUUGGUGUAAUAUUUCUAAAUUCCGAAUAGAAAUGCACAUCAAUCCGCAAGUCUGUUCGUGACUUUCUCCUAUUUUAACUGAAAUAGAGCGAAACUUGAUCUGCGUCUCCGCUACCUUUUUUGGUGUCUGUGACAAACCUUGACGUUAGAGACGUUCUCACCUUUCCCCCAGCCCGACCUCGUGGACCAGGCACAUGGCCAAGACUCAGUGCUUCAGUGUGACUUGGCUGUGAGUGGGCAGAACUGAUUAGAGAUCAGAGGGUACACAUCUAUUUAGAUUGCACACUAUUCCUCUUGACACUGAAGGUAUGCCAUCUAAAUUUAAGUCCUCACGCCCAGCUGACACACACAGUCAACGUGUCUAAUCUCCUGACAAUGCGUCAUAUAAGAAGCCCACGUGACACAAUACAGCAACGCACUUUUUACAUCGCAUUACAACUCUAGGGAGAAAACACAAUAAUAAUAUUUAAAUCAUUCAUAUUACUAAUACAUUUAAUGGGAAAUAUUUUCAAGUGUAUUUCUAAUUGAGACAUAAUAAAAAAACAGCCAUAUCCAUUUCUGGAUAUGUUUGCUAAACAUGUAAGAUUGAAAUCAAUAUUUUGUCUGGUGUGUCUGGAAAUAUUUGUCAGCUCUUAAAAGUGCAACUAUAAAGGACACAUAGCCCGUUGGAGAAAUGCCAUUGGCUCAAUGUGGAUUUGUAUCAUUUACAUUUAUAUGAAAAUCUGGAAUCUGAGGUUACUAGAUUGACAAUGCCAUUAUCCAAAUAAAUUUUGAUAUAUUUACGGUAGGAAAUUUACAAAAUAUCUUCAUGGAUCAUGAUCUUUACAUAAUAUCUCAAUGAUUUUUGUCAUAAAAGAAUGAAUAUAUUUGUGACUCAUACAAUGUAUUGUUGGCUAUCACUACAAAUAUACUCGUGCGUCUUAAGAUCCAGGGUCACAUAUCAUGUAUCAAGCAUUUUGAAUGUGCACCUGUUGAUAUUAUGUAAUGAUAUUUACAUUGAUGAAAUUUAGUAUGGUAGAUCUACUAUUGUUUACUUCUUUGAAUUAAUUGAUAUGCUUUUAUUUUUCUCUUUAUAUUAAAAGUGCCUGCUAUGAACCAAAAAUGCUGUUGUUGU